rnacentral:rRNA from 1 species
GGAGGUAGUGACAAUAAAUCACAAUGCGGGACUGUUAGUCUUGCAAUUGGAUUGAGAACAACGUACAACUCUUAUCGAUAAGCCAUUGGAGGGCAAGUCUGGUGCCAGCAGCCGCGGUAAUUCCAGCUCCAAUAGCGUAUAUUAACGUUGUUGCAGUUAAAAAGCUCGUAGUUGAAGUGAGGGAGUGUGUAGUAGGACCGACUUGAUCGGAACUGCUGCAACCUCCCCCCUCCAAUCGGUGUAGUGGGGUAUUCACUUAUUCCACUACUCCUUUGGUCGUUUACUGUGAGAAAAUUAGAGUGUUCAAAGCGGGCGUUUGUUUGAAUAGAUUAGCAUGGAAUAAUGAUUGAAGGCUUUCGUGUUCGAUUUGAUUGGUUUGUUCAUGGAAGCAAGGUUAAAAGGAACAGUUGGGGGUAUUCAUAUUCACUAGUUAGAGGUGAAAUUCUCGGAUUUAUGGAAGAUGAACAAGUGCGAAAGCA